AACGAACGCUGGCGGCGUGCUUAACACAUGCAAGUCGAACGGUAAGGCCCUUCGGGGUACACGAGUGGCGAACGGGUGAGUAACACGUGGGUGAUCUGCCCUGCACUUCGGGAUAAGCCUGGGAAACUGGGUCUAAUACCGGAUAGGACCACUGACUACAUGGGGGGUGGGGGAAAGCUUUUGCGGUGUGGGAAUGGCCCGCGGCCUAUCAGCUUGUUGGUGGGGUGAUGGCCUACCAAGGCGACGACGGGUAGCCGGCCGGAGGGGGGGAACGGCAACACUGGGACUGAGAUACGGCCCAGACUCCUACGGGAGGCAGCAGUGGGGAAUAUUGCACAAUGGGCGCAAGCCUGAUGCAGCGACGCCGCGUGAGGGAUGACGGCCUUCGGGUUGUAAACCUCUUUCAGCACCGACGAAGCGCAAGUGACGGUAGGUGCAGAAGAAGGACCGGCCAACUACGUGCCAGCAGCCGCAGUAAUAC
rnacentral:rRNA from 1 species